UCCCCCUUAGCUCAGUUGGUUAGAGCAUCUGACUGUUAAUCAGAGGGUCGUUAGUUCGAGUCUAACAGGGGGAGCCA
rnacentral:tRNA from 1 species